CGUCUAGGCGGGCUUUCAAGUCGAAUGUGAAACCCCACGGCUCAACCGUGGAUCUGCAUUUGAUACUGUUAGUCUUGAGUACGGAAGAGGAAAGCGGAAUUCCAGGUGUAGCGGUGAAAUGCGUAGAUAUCUGGAAGAACACCGGUGGCGAAGGCGGCUUUCUGGUCCGAUACUGACGCUGAAGCGCGAAAGUGCGAGGAGCAAACA
rnacentral:rRNA from 1 species